rnacentral:rRNA from 1 species
GACGAACGCUGGCGGCGUGCCUAAUACAUGCAAGUAGAACGCUGAAGGAGGAGCUUGCUUCUCCGGAUGAGUUGCGAACGGGUGAGUAACGCGUAGGUAACCUGCCUGGUAGCGGGGGAUAACUAUUGGAAACGAUAGCUAAUACCGCAUAAGAGUAGAUGUCGCAUGACAUUUGCUUAAAAGGUGCAACUGCACCACUACCAGAUGGACCUGCGUUGUAUUAGCUAGUUGGUGAGGUAACGGCUCACCAAGGCAACGAUACAUAGCCGACCUGAGAGGGUGAUCGGCCACACUGGGACUGGGACACGGCCCAGACUCCUACGGGAGGCAGCAGUAGGGAAUCUUCGGCAAUGGACGGAAGUCUGACCGAGCAACGCCGCGUGAGUGAAGAAGGUUUUCGGAUCGUAAAGCUCUGUUGUAAGAGAAGAACGAGUGUGAGAGUGGAAAGUUCACACUGUGACGGUAUCUUACCAGAAAGGGACGGCUAACUACGUG